CUCCUUUGACGUUAGCGGCGGACGGGUGAGUAACACGUGGGUAACCUACCUAUAAGACUGGGAUAACUUCGGGAAACCGGAGCUAAUACCGGAUAAUAUUUCGAACCGCAUGGUUCGAUAGUGAAAGAUGGUUUUGCUAUCACUUAUAGAUGGACCCGCGCCGUAUUAGCUAGUUGGUAAGGUAACGGCUUACCAAGGCGACGAUACGUAGCCGACCUGAGAGGGUGAUCGGCCACACUGGAACUUAGACACGGUCCAGACUCCUACGGGAGGCAGCAGGC
rnacentral:rRNA from 1 species